UCAAGCGUCGAUCAUAGGUGGAAUAGAGUUUGUGAGAGAGCUUGAGCAACUUCUACAAUGCCUACAGUCACAUGAGUCGUAUAGGAGGAGGAGGAGGGCUCCGGGAAGAAACAGCCGAGAAUGAGUCGUGCUUGGCUGAUGUGGAGGUGAAGCUGCUAGAGUUUGAUGCCAUGAUCAAGAAACUUUCAAGAAGAAGACCAGGACAACUGAUUAAGACUAUUGCUUUUUUGGAGGAUCUUCAUCUCUAUAUUCUUCACACUUACAUGACUACCAUGGAACAAACAGUCCUCUACUCCUUCAAUGUCAAGGCAAGUUUCACCUUCGUACAUUAUACUCUUAGGCGUUCAUAUAUAUAGUACAUCCUCAUAUAAAGUUUUUUACCCAUAUACUUGGAUUUAUUUAAAUAAAAUAUGCAUAUAUUAGUAACCUACAAGGAAAAGUGGACGUUGAAGGUUUCCUCUCAGCACAAGCUGCCAUAGAUGCAAUUAAGGGCUCCAUGGAUCUUUACGCAGCUAACAUCAAAGCUGGCUUGCAGCGUUAGUGAACAUACCGGUCGAUCUGUUCCUCCAGGUUUGCGUUGAUGCCUUCUCCGGCUCGCUGGAGAACAAACUCACAUGUCUUUUUUCUGCAGAGCUAAUGUGUCUGAAAAUGAGAGGCGAACAGGUCUUUAUGAUUAUCAGGUAUGCUCUCUUUUGUACUUGAAACAACACCUCUAACAAACGACUGGUGAGUGUAUAUGGGAGUAUUUUGGAUGGGUUUUGUUAGAUAGACUGAAAGAUGUCAAGAAACAUGGAAGGAUAAUAUAGAAGUGGGAGUAUCCGAAGGAUUCUUUUACAUGCGUUUGGAUAAAAUCUUUAGCUUAGUGGAUGUCUGACUGAUCAAACUUCAGAGUACGCACCAAGGGGCAAGCCUAUGGAACAUCCCAGAUUCAAUACAUAUCAUACUUGGUGAGACAAUAAGUUUAGAAGAUCACAAACAAGUAACUGUUUUUAGGUGUGAGAGAGCUUCUUGAGUAUGAAUGUUAUAAUAACAAAACGGGUUGUAUUGCAGCGAUACUAAUGUGGUUGCUCCAUUCAUAUGUUGAGAUGAAUUUUCAGAUUGUUUUUAACUCAGUACGAUAGCUUUGUUUUCAUUUGAAAAAAAUAAAUAUAUUUUUGGUUUAAUUCA